AAAGAAAGAAAGAAAGAAAAGGAGGAGGAAGAGGGAUCACAAUAUUCUACAGAGACUAGAGCAAGAACUUAACAUUCACGGGUGGAGGGUAACGAUCUGUUUUGUCUAAGGAUAUCCAUAGACUAGCUCAUCUGCAUCAAGAAGGUUAUCGUCUGAGAAAUUAUGUAACCACUGGAAGGAGGGAGGCUGGAAGAGAUGAAGAGAUGGGGAAAGAUAGAAGACAGACAGAGAUAAAAGAAUACUAAACAGAAGUUCAGAAAAGGAGGAGAAAAGAAGAAAGUGGGGGUGAAGGAGGAAAAAGAGAAGAGAAAAAGAGAGAAAUAAGGAAAGGAAUGAGAAGAAAGAAAGAGAAGAAACAUUAUUUGGCAAGGAGGUGUUAAUCUAAUCCAAAAGUGAAGGGAGCCUGUGAAAUCUAGCCAGUCCCACCUGCUCCAGCUCCAGCCUGCUCCAGCACCCGCCCUGUUCCCAGUUUCUUCUUGAUCAUCAUUACUUGGCAUAAUCAGCAGAAUCCAGAGCGCCUGACCUCCACCAUGGGCAGAGCUGUGGAUUCAAUUAAGAGACCUCCAAAAUCCACUGUUUUUUGUCAUCUUCUCAGUGGCUUAUAGUCAUGUUGCAUAAUGUACCAAGGCCGACCCAUGUUGAUGCACCUGGCAGGAGGUCCUCCUUUCUCAUGGCUGAGUAAUACUGCCUUGUGUAUGUAUGCAACAUAUUUUGUUAUCCAUCUACCCAUUGAUUGGCACUUAAACUAUUAACAUACCUUGCCUACUGUGAACAGUGCUGAAACAAACAUGGGGGUAUUUUCACUUCCCCUGAGUGUGU